GAAGCGGCAGCGCCAGUUGUUGUGGAGUCGUCCUUGAAAUACCACCCUUCUUAUAUUUAGGUUCUAACCGCGUAGCAAACGUGGGACAUUGUGUGGUGGGUAGUUUGACUGGGGUGGUCGCCUCCUAAAGAGUAACGGAGGCUCGCAAAGGUACCCUCAGCAUGGAUGGUAAUCAUGCGCAGAGCGUAUUAGUACAAGGGUGCUUGACUGGGAGAGAGACAUCUCGAUCAGGUAGGAAACUAGGCUAAAGUGAUCCGG
rnacentral:rRNA from 1 species